GCCACCACCACCCUCCCUCUCUGCCUCAUCACCUACUCCGCCUGCGCCUGCGAGCUGUGCUGUGCUGUGCUGUGCUGCGCAACGGGGAGAUCCAAUCCACAGAACAGGAUGCAGUCCAAGCACCGGGUCUUCGCGGAGGACCUGCUCCUGGCGGCGGCGGCGGAGGGCGAGGACCACUUCGACCGGGUGCCCGACUCCCUGGUGCUCCUCAUCUUCAACAAGCUGGCCGACGCGCGGUCGCUGGGCCGCUGCUCCGCGGUGUCGCGCCGCUUCAGCGCGCUGGUCCCGCUCGUGGACGACGCCUGCCUGCGCAUCGACCGCGUCAUCCCCGCCGACGCCGCCGACGCGGGGGCGCCGCGCCCGCGCGCCGCGCUCUCGCACCUCCUCAAGUCCGUGCUGCUCGCCGUGCUCAAGCCCUUCGCGCACUGCGACGCCAAGUCCGCGUCGCCGCAAAAGCACGCGCAGCAGCAGCAGCAGCACCACUCGCCCGCCCAGGUGCUCAGGAACUUCAGCAGCAUCCGCAGCCUCCGGAUGGAGCUCCCGGUCUCCGACGUGGGCACCGACGACGGCGUCGUGCUCAGGUGGAAGGCCGUCUUCGGCAGCACGCUGCAGAGCUGCGUCAUCCUCGGCGGCACCAGGGUGGACCGCGCCGCGGCCGCGGCCGCGGGACCGCCGCACGCCCCUUCCUCCGCUCCCCCCGCGGGCGACGACGACGGCGGCAGCAUCCCGGAGUCCCUGUACACCAACGGCGGCCUCAAGCUGCGCGUGGUCUGGACCAUCAGCUCCCUCAUCGCCGCGGCCACCAGGCACUACCUCCUCCGCGAGAUCGUCAAGGAGCACCCCACCCUGGAGCGGGUGGCGCUGACGGACGCCGGCGGGCAGGGCACGCUCAGCAUGGGGCGCGACCAGCUCAGGGAGUUCAGAGACAGGCCGCUCGCCGCCGCGCCCGCCGCCGCCGCCAACCGCACGCAGGUGCCCGCCUGCAACAUGAAGCUGCGCUACGCGCCGCUGCUGGAGCUCUCGGACGGCACCAGGAUCCACGGCGCCACGCUCGUGGUCAUCAAGCCCGUCGGCGACGCCGGCGGGAAGGACCUCGACGAGCUCGGCGCCGGCGCCUUCGACGGGCCCCUGAGGGAGGCCGUGGCCGCGCUCGGCAAGCGCCGCGCCUACCUGCUCGAGAUGAACGGCUUCUAGUCUGUGCGCCUCUCUGCUCCAUGGCAAUGGGCAUUGUUAAUUGGCCAAUGGGCAACGGCAACUAGCUAGAUUGCUCCUCCGCUCGCUUCACCUCAGCUGUCAGUCAGCUCCUGUCCUGACGAUAUCCUUGUGGAAAAAAAACAGUAGUAUAGAAUGGAGUGGGCAGCGCCAGCCGGCCAGCUUCACAGUGCAUUCUGAUGCUAUCAUGAACGGAAAUGAAGCAGUCAGUCACAUUUUGAAUCAACUCUUGUCUGUAAAGGGCUAAAGGCUCUGAGACGACGAAACCACAGAGUUGCAGCAUGGCAAUUCGAAGUCUAUUCAUGCCUUUUUUUUGCGAAACGGGAAAAUCACACGAGAUUUGCCCUUAUCCACUCCUGCUCGAAGGCAGCAGUGACGCUUGUUUGAGCGAUCAUUUUAGACCGUAUCUCGC
rnacentral:misc_RNA from 1 species